UAGAACAGUGCCAGGCAUGUAAUAAGCAUUCAAAAGAUUUCAAUAUGCAUAGGAAAAUGUUUGGAAGGAUACACAUCAUUAAUAGUAUUUCCUGGAGGAUGAGAUUAUGGGGAGACUUUAAUUUUCCAGUCCCUAUAUUUCUGUAUUGUUUGGAAGUUUACAGAAAAUAUUUAUUAAUUUUAUAACCAGCAAUUCUGUGAAGACUACAAUUUUUUAGCCUUUUCCAUUUUAGUUACUUUUCUUUCCAUUUCAGAAAAGAAUGUCAACAACAAGAACAACAACAACAAAAGAGAGGAAGGGAGAAGAAUAGAAAUAUCUGCAGAAGUGAAAAAACAACUCAUCUGAAGGGGGACAGGUUAUCAAGCUCAUGAACUUAUAGGAGGAGCUGGAGCCCUUUGUCACAGAGCUGAAUGGACAUCUGGCCGAGCACUCGGAGUAACUGAAGGAGGACAUUCAGCAGGAGUUGGGGAGCUGCUGGCCUGAGUGCUAUAUCCUGCACCAACAAGGUGAACCAGCAGAUCAGUGUCAAAAGGAUGGAAUAGACAUGAGGUGCCCAUCAGUGAAUAAAGCUCUCUCUUUCUUGUGACAACAAGCAAGCAAGCAAGCAAGCAAGCAAGCAAGCAAGAAGCUCCCAACUACUGUGAAUAAAUUGAGACAAAGAAAAUGUU